rnacentral:lncRNA from 1 species
CCAGGGUGGUUGAGUUUCCCUAGGGAGGGAGGGAGAGAGGAAGAGGAAACUGUCAGCGUCGAAGGAGAGAAACCGAGAAAUCCCAAGUUGACGGUCAAGUCCAACGCUCGCCGCAGACAUCUAGUGGACCCGGCGCUCACGGACGGAAGUGGACAGACCCAGUUGGAUCUUUAUCACACCAAGCUGGCCCACCUUUGCUGCCAUCUAACUCCGCUGACCAGCCCACCGUUCCUCCACUGUCCGCUGGUUGACCCGGGCAGCGGAGAGAGGAGAAGCCUUCUGUUGGUGCCGCCUGCCGUGGGACAGAAGAGAAGCACCUGUGAGCAAGAGCCAUACACUCAAUAUACCACUGUUGACUCCUAAGUGCCCGGACUUUAAUCGGGAGAAGUAGUUUUAGAAGUUAGGUGAUGAAUUCUAUUCAUUUAUUAAAAUGAAUUAUUAAAAAAUAUAUAAAAAUAUAAUUAUAAUUAUAUAUUUACAAACCUUGAGCUGG